UGCCUCAUAGCCAAAUGGUAAGGCACUUCACUCUGAAUGAAGCGAUUUCUGGUUCGAAUCCAGAUGAGGCAG
rnacentral:tRNA from 1 species